GUACAAUUAGCACAUACACUAAAAUUGGAAUGAUACAAAAAAGAUUGGUAUGGCUCCCUGCUCAUGAAUGACACACAAAAUAUUUUU
rnacentral:snRNA from 1 species